rnacentral:rRNA from 1 species
GACGAACGACUGGCGGCGUGCCUAACACAUGCAAGUCAGGGAGAAUAGGGUAGCAAUAUCCUUAGUAAACCGGCGAACGGGUGAGUAACACGUAGAUAAUCAACCUUGAAGUUGGGGACAACCUCGCGAAAAGCGGGGCUAAAUACCGAAUGACACAACCGGUUCUUAUGGAUUGGUUGUCAAAAGCUUCCGAGCGCUUUACAAGGACGAGUCUGCGUCCGAUUAGCUAGUUGGU